GCAAGUCUGGUGCCAGCAGCCGCGGUAAUUCCAGCUCCAAUAGCGUAUAUUAAAGUUGUUGCAGUUAAAAAGCUCGUAGUUGAAUUUCGGGAUCAAUAUUUCGGUCAUGCCGUUGGUAUGCACUGUUAUCAUUGAUUUCUCACCUUCUAAAGAACCAUAAUGCCAUUAAUUUGGUGUUACGGGGAAUUAGGGCUGUUACCUUGAAAAAAUUAGAGUGUUUAAAGCAGGCUCACGCUUGAAUACAUUAGCAUGGAAUAAUGAAAUAGGACAUCCGAUUCUAUUUUGUUGGUUUCUAGGAUCGAUGUAAUGAUUAAUAGGGAUAGUUGGGGGCAUUAGUAUUCAAUUGUCAGAGGUGAAAUUCUUGGAUUUAUUGAAGACUAACUACUGCGAAAGCAUUUGCCAAGGAUGUUUUCAUUAAUCAAGAACGAAAGUUAGGGGAUCGAAGACGAUCAGAUACCGUCGUAGUCUUAACCAUAAACUAUGCCGACUAGGGAUCGGAUGAUGUUAAUUUUUUAAUGACUCAUUCGGCGCCUUACGGGAAAC
rnacentral:rRNA from 1 species